CAGCCGCCGCGGGAAUACGUAGGGUGCAAGCGUUAAUCGGAAUUACUGGGCGUAAAGCGUGCGCAGGCGGUUCGCUAAGACAGAUGUGAAAUCCCCGGGCUUAACCUGGGAACUGCAUUUGUGACUGGCGGGCCAGAGUAUGGCAGAGGGGGGUAGAAUUCCACGUGUAGCAGUGAAAUGCGUAGAGAUGUGGAGGAAUACCGAUGGCGAAGGCAGCCCCCUGGGCCAAUACUGACGCCCAUGCACGAAAGCGUGGGGAGCAAACAGGAUUAGAUACCCGUGUAGUCCCUGUCUCUUAUAC
rnacentral:rRNA from 1 species